GACGAACGCUGGCGGCGUGCUUAACACAUGCAAGUCGAACGGAAAGGCCCUGCUUUUGUGGGGUGCUCGAGUGGCGAACGGGUGAGUAACACGUGAGUAACCUGCCCUUGACUUUGGGAUAACUUCAGGAAACUGGGGCUAAUACCGGAUAGGAGCUCCUGCUGCAUGGUGGGGGUUGGAAAGUUUCGGCGGUGGGGGAUGGACUCGCGGCUUAUCAGCUUGUUGGUGGGGUAGUGGCUUACCAAGGCUUUGACGGGUAGCCGGCCUGAGAGGGUGACCGGCCACAUUGGGACUGAGAUACGGCGCAGACUGCUACGGGAGGCAGCAGUGGGGAAUAUUGCACAAUGGGCGGAAGCCUGAUGCAGCAACGCCGCGUGCGGGAUGACGGCCUUCGGGUUGUAAACCGCUUUCGCCUGUGACGAAGCGUGAGUGACGGUAAUGGGUAAAGAAGCACCGGCUAACUACGUG
rnacentral:rRNA from 1 species